rnacentral:misc_RNA from 1 species
GUUGUGAGGGUGAAUAUGGGAAAUGUUGCAGUGUUGCCUCGAAAUGAUACCUCGUGGCGAUCUUGGGAAUCUGAUGAAAGAUACUUAACAAGUAGGAAUCUUUUUCAGUUUGUAUCGAGGAUACAAGCUGUGAAUUACACACGAGGAGGGCCUUCUAGGAAUAUCGCCCCUCCAUCAGUGUAUGGGACUGCUACGAGGUUGCAAGUGGAUGAUCCCGGUGUUUCUGUAAACAUCACGUGGUUGUUUGAUGUUGAUCCUGGCUUCGACUAUUUCAUCAGGUUCCACUUUUGCGACAUAGUAACUGGCCACAAUGAUCCAAACAAAGUAGGUGGCGACCAUGAACUAUUGUUCAAUGUUUACAUCAAUUCCCAAUUAGCUUCGAGGGACCUUGAUCUUAAAAAGAAGACAUCAAAUGUCCUUGGUUCUCCGUAUUACAUGGAUGUUGUUACAAGGUUAAAGAACACUCACAGCAUUGGCAUUAGCAUUGGUCCAGCAGGUGUAGAUAAUGCAUAUCCGGACGGCCUCCUGAAUGGUCUCGAGAUCAUGAAAAUAAGCAAUGUCAAGGGAAGUCUUGAUGCCUCAGACGCUGAGAUUCAGUCCUCGGUGCCUACUUCAAAGAAGACUAAAACAUGGUUGAUCAUUGGAUCAACUAUUGGAGGAUCGAUCAUUUGCAUCGUUUUGGUUGUGGUGUCUAUUCUCUUUUGCAGAAGUAGAAUACGGACAGCUGCUGAUGACUCAACAGAGGAAAAUCAUACAGCAGUUGGAGCCAAAGAAGCAUCUAUCGUUUCCAAGUCGAAUAUGGGGUACCUGUUCCCUCUUGUAGCAGUCCAGGAAGCAACCGAUCACUUCAGUGAAAGCAUGAUCAUAGGCUUUGGUGGUUUUGGAAAAGUUUACAAGGGAAUUUUGAAGGAUAACACAAAGGUGGCAGUAAAGAGAGGAUUUCAUCAAUCACAACAAGGUCUUGCCGAGUUCAUGACUGAAGUCGAAAUGCUGUCUCAGUUUAGACAUCGCCAUUUGGUCUCACUGAUCGGUUACUGUAAUGAAAAGAAUGAGAUGAUAAUCAUUUACGAGUACAUGGAGAAUGGAACUCUUAAGGAUCAUCUGUAUGGUUCAGACCUUCCGAAUUUGAAUUGGACACAAAGGCUUGAAAUUUGCAUAGGAUCAGCAAAGGGACUUCACUAUCUUCAUACCGGUUCUCAUAAGGCAAUCAUCCACCGAGAUGUCAAAUCCUCGAAUAUACUUUUAGAUGAAAAUCUCCGGGCUAAAGUUUCUGAUUUUGGACUAUCGAAAAUUGGUCCAGAAAUUGAUCAAACACAUGUUAGUACUGCAGUGAAAGGAAGUUUUGGAUAUCUUGAU